rnacentral:rRNA from 1 species
AUUGAACGCUGGCGGCAGGCUUAACACAUGCAAGUCGAGCGGAGUGAUGGUGCUUGCACUAUCACUUAGCGGCGGACGGGUGAGUAAUGCUUAGGAAUCUGCCUAUUAGUGGGGGACAACAUCUCGAAAGGGAUGCUAAUACCGCAUACGUCCUACGGGAGAAAGCAGGGGAUCACUUGUGACCUUGCGCUAAUAGAUGAGCCUAAGUCGGAUUAGCUAGUUGGUGGGGUAAAGGCCUACCAAGGCGACGAGCUGGAGCGGGUUUGAGAGCAUCAUCCGCCACACUGGGAGUAAGACACGGCCCAGAGUCCUACGGGAGACAGCAGGGGGGAAUAGUGGACAAUGGGGGGAAGCCUGAACCAGCCAUGACGCGUGUGUGAGGAAGGCCUUAUGGUUGUAAAGCACUUUAAGCGAGGAGGAGGCUCUUUUGGUUAGUACCCAACAUGAGUGGACGUGACUCGCAGAAUAAGCACCGGCUAACUCUGUGCCAGCCGCCGCCGUAAGAC